ACCUGGCUGGUUCAGUUUGUAGAGCAUGAAACUCUUAAUCUCAGGGUCAUGAGUUCAAGCCCUGUGUCGGGUA
rnacentral:tRNA from 1 species